rnacentral:snRNA from 1 species
GGAUGUGAGGACGAUCUGGCUGCGACAUCUGUCACCCCAUUGAUCGCCAGGGUUGAUUCGGCUGAUCUGGCUGGCUAGGCGGGUGUCCCCCUCCUCCCUCACCAAUCCAUGUAUGUCCUUCCGGAAGCUGCGCGCUUGGUCGAAGAGGACGACCUUACCCACCACCGCCCCCCCCCCACCCCCAGGAGAGGACCGGUCUUCGGUAAAGGGUAUACAAGUAGGUGCGCUCGCCUGCUAGAACCUCCAAACAAGCUCUCAAGAGGAGAAGAAAAAUUAUAUUUCCUCCCACACAAUAGAUUUCAUU